CAUGAUCUCUAUCUCUCUGACGAGUACUCUCUGAACACCAAGAAAGUCAAGUACUCUUAAUUCAGAAGAAAAGAAUAAUUAAGAGGGUUGUAUGGUCAAACAUGGCCUGCAUGAGACGUACUCCACGGCCUUUAGUUUUGAUUCCGUGCAAUUUUGACGAUGAUUAGCAAUCGAAUUCCACUCCUAGCGUACGCGGCAAAGAAAGGGUUAAUUAGAUCUCGAGAGAUAAGGUCGCAAGCGAAGCAACAAGUACAAGUUUCAAGAACAUUUCUGCCACCUUCUGCUGGAGCAUGCAUGAUGAUGAAUUGAUGAUUCAGAGCUCUGCUGGAUUGCAUUGCACCUCAGUUUUGGAUACCUGUAAACUGUUGUUUGUUUGUGACUUUUUAAGCAAAC
rnacentral:lncRNA from 1 species